GACGAACGCUGGCGGCGUGCUUAACACAUGCAAGUCGAGCGGUGAGGCCCUUCGGGGUACACGAGCGGCGAACGGGUGAGUAACACGUGGGUGACCUGCCCUUAGCUCUGGGAUAAGCCUGGGAAACUGGGUCUAAUACCGGAUAUGACCUCAUGACGCAUGUUGUGGGGUGGAAAGCCUUGUGCGGCUAGGGAUGGGCCCGCGGCCUAUCAGCUUGUUGGUGGGGUGANGGCCUACCAAGGCGACGACGGGUAACCGGCCUGAGAGGGCGACCGGCCACACUGGGACUGAGACACGGCCCAGACUCCUACGGGAGGCAGCAGUGGGGAAUCUUGCGCGAUGGGCGAAAGCCUGACGCAGCGACGCCGCGUGAGGGAUGACGGCCU
rnacentral:rRNA from 1 species